GCACGAAUCGCUUUACGAAAAUACACAAACCUUAUGAAAAUCAUGUGAAUGACGCAAUGUCACGUGACCCAGUGGUGGUCGGGCGGUUUCGCAUAAGGUUCCUGCAAAUCGCAUAAGGUUCGUGUAGUGUGCGUCACAUAGUGAUUCGUGCAAAUCACAUAAGGUUCGUACGUUUUCGCAUAGUGAUUCACAUGAUUUUCAUAAGGUUCAUGCGUUUUUGUAUAGUGAUUUGUGCGUAUCACAUCAUGUUUGUACGAAUCUCAAAGGGUUCGUGCAAAUGCUCAGGCACCCCUGUCAGUAGCAUUGUUUACCAACCCUGCUUCUAGAUGCGAAAAUACAGAGCCCGAAUCCUGUCUUGACUUGCAUGCCAUGCAUAUUAAGACUGAAAUAUUAACUUAAAAAGCAUGGCUGUCUCCAGCACCCUUUCUUGCUUGUUGGUACAAAAAAAUUCAAUUCUUUGUAACC